AGGACAAACGCUGGCGGGGUGCGUGAGACAUGCAAGUCGAACGAGGUGCCAUCGGGCUUGCUCGAUAGCUACCUAGUGGCGGACGGCUGAGUAACGCGUAGGUGACCUACCCGGAAGUGGGGAAUAACUGCCCGAAAGGGUGGCUAAUACCGCAUACGGUCGACGAUUCGUUUCGUCGUCCAAAGGAGUAAUCCGCUUCCGGCGGGGCCUGCGUCCGAUUAGCUAGUUGGUGGGGUAACGGCUCACCAAGGCGACGAUCGGUAGCUGGUCUGAGAGGAUGAUCAGCCAGACUGGGACUGAGAACGGCCCAGACUCCUACGGGAGGCAGCAGUCGGGAAUUUGCCCAAUGGACGAAAGUCUGAGGCAGCAACUCCGCGUGAGGGACGAAGGCUCUCGGGUCGUAAACCUCUUUUCUCAGGAAGAUCCAAGACGGUACCUGAGGAAUAAGCCACGGACUAACUACGUGCCAGCACGCCGC
rnacentral:rRNA from 1 species